AAUCAACGCUGGCGGCGUGCCUAACACAUGCAAGUCGAACGCGAGAGGGGCUUCGGCCCCGAUUGAGUGGCGAACGGGUGAGUAACGCGUGGGUGACCUACCUUCGAGUGGGGGAGUAACGUCCCGAAAGGGACGCUAAUACCGCAUAACAUCCUGCUUUUGAAUGGGUGGAGAUCAAAGCCGGGGAUCGCAAGACCUGGCGCUUGAUGAGGGGCCCGCGUCUGAUUAGCUAGNGGUUGAGGUAACGGCCCACCAAGGCAACGAUCAGUAUCCGGCCUGAGAGGGCGGACGGACACACUGGGACUGAGACACGGCCCAGACUCCUACGGGAGGCAGCAGUGGGGAAUCUUGCGCAAUGGGCGAAAGCCUGACGCAGCGACGCCGCGU
rnacentral:rRNA from 1 species